UACGAUCAAAUCAGACUAAAAUCACCGAUUCUCAUUCGAAUACCGAGGUUAAGCAGCAUCGAACCCGGUCAGUAUGUAGAUGGGUGACCGCUUGCGAACACCGGCUUUUG